rnacentral:rRNA from 1 species
GAUCAUGGCUCAGGAUGAACGCUAGCUACAGGCUUAACACAUGCAAGUCGAGGGGCAUCAGGAAGAAAGCUUGCUUUCUUUGCUGGCGACCGGCGCACGGGUGAGUAACACGUAUCCAACCUACCCUUUACUCGGGGAUAGCCUUUCGAAAGAAAGAUUAAUACCCGAUGGCAUAAUGAUUCCGCAUGGUUUCAUUAUUAAAGGAUUCCGGUAAAGGAUGGGGAUGCGUUCCAUUAGGUUGUUGGUGAGGUACG